ACGGCUCAGUAACACGUGGAUAACCUACCCUUAGGACCGGGAUAACCUUGGGAAACUGAGGAUAAUACUGGAUAGGCAAUUUUUCCUGUAAUGGUUUUUUGUUUAAAUGUUUUUUCGCCUAAGGAUGGGUCUGCGGCCGAUUAGGUAGUUGGUUAGGUAAUGGCUUACCAAGCCGUUGAUCGGUACGGGUUGUGAGAGCAAGAGCCCGGAGAUGGAACCUGAGACAAGGUUCCAGGCCCUACGGGGUGCAGCAGGCGCGAAACCUCCGCAAUGUGAGAAAUCGCGACGGGGGGAUCCCAAGUGCCAUUCUUAACGGGAUGGCUUUUCAUUAGUGUAAAGAGCUUUUGGAAUAAGAGCUGGGCAAGACCGGUGCCAGCCGCCGCGGUAACACCGGCAGCUCUAGUGGUAACAAUUUUUAUUGGGCCUAAAGCGUCCGUAGCCGGUUUAAUAAGUCUCUGGUGAAAUCCUGUAGCUUAACUGUGGGAAUUGCUGGAGAUACUAUUAGACUUGAGACCGGGAGAGGUUAGAGGUACUCCCAGGGUAGAGGUGAAAUUCUGUAAUCCUGGGAGGACCGCCUGUUGCGAAGGCGUCUAACUGGAACGGUUCUGACGGUGAGGGACGAAAGUUAGGGGCGCGAACCGGAUUAGAUACCCGGGUAGUCCUAACUGUAAACGAUGCGGACUUGGUGUUGGGGUGGCUUUGAGCUGCUUCAGUGCCGAAGGGAAGCUGUUAAGUCCGCCGCCUGGGAAGUACGGUCGCAAGACUGAAACUUAAAGGAAUUGGCGGGGGAG
rnacentral:rRNA from 1 species